rnacentral:rRNA from 1 species
CGGGUAGCCGGCCUGAGAGGGCGACCGGCCACAUUGGGACUGAGAUACGGCCCAGACUCCUACGGGAGGCAGCAGUGGGGAAUAUUGCACAAUGGGCGCAAGCCUGAUGCAGCGACGCCGCGUGCGGGAUGACGGCCUUCGGGUUGUAAACCGCUUUUGACUGGGAGCAAGCCCUUCGGGGUGAGUGUACCUUUCGAAUAAGCACCGGCUAACUACGUGCCAGCAGCCGCGGUAAUACGUAGGGUGCAAGCGUUAUCCGGAAUUAUUGGGCGUAAAGGGCUCGUAGGCGGUUCGUCGCGUCCGGUGUGAAAGUCCAUCGCUUAACGGUGGAUCCGCGCCGGGUACGGGCGGGCUUGAGUGCGGUAGGGGAGACUGGAAUUCCCGGUGUAACGGUGGAAUGUGUAGAUAUCGGGAAGAACACCAAUGGCGAAGGCAGGUCUCUGGGCCGUCACUGACGCUGAGGAGCGAAAGCGUGGGGAGCGAACAGGAUUAGAUACCCUGGUAGUCCACGCCGUAAACGGUGGAUGCUGGAUGUGGGGACCAUUCCACGGUCUCCGUGUCGGAGCCAACGCGUUAAGCAUCCCGCCUGGGGAGUACGGCCGCAAGGCUAAAACUCAAAGAAAUUGACGGGGGCCCGCACAAGCGGCGGAGCAUGCGGAUUAAUUCGAUGCAACGCGAAGAACCUUACCUGGGCUUGACAUGUUCCCGACAGCCCCAGAGAUGGGGCCUCCCUUCGGGGCGGGUUCACAGGUGGUGCAUGGUCGUCGUCAGCUCGUGUCGUGAGAUGUUGGGUUAAGUCCCGCAACGAGCGCAACCCUCGCCCUGUGUUGCCAGCACGUCGUGGUGGGAACUCACGGGGGACCGCCGGGGUCAACUCGGAGGAAGGUGGGGAUGACGUCAGAUCAUCAUGCCCCUUACGUCCAGGGCUUCACGCAUGCUACAAUGGCCGGUACAACGGGAUGCGACCUCGUGAGGGGGAGCGGAUCCCUUAAAACCGGUCUCAGUUCGGAUUGGAGUCUGCAACCCGACUCCAUGAAGGCGGAGUCGCUAGUAAUCGCGGAUCAGCAACGCCGCGGUGAAUGCGUUCCCGGGCCUUGUACACACCGCCCGUCAAGUCAUGAAAGUGGGUAGCACCCGAAGCCGGUGGCCCAACCUUUUUGGGGGGAGCCGUCUAAGGUGAGACUCGUGAUUGGGACUAAGUCGUAACAAGGUAGCCGUACCGGAAGGUGCGGCUG